CCCACCUUUAAAGUAAUUGUAUUCGUGAAUGCUAUUCUUUCAAAUAAGGAGUACGUAAAUAAAAACUGUUGUAUGAAUCUUUAAAAAUCCAUGUUAACUUCUGAAAUCCAGAUAGAGCUUUCUACAGGCUGUCUGACACAAUUCUGGGGUAAUACACAAGUAAUUUUAAGCUAUUUGGAGCCUACAGAGAUUAUAUCAGAGGACAUCUGCAGAAUAUCAGCGUUUUUGAAAGAGAUGUACAAUGUGCGCUGCUGUGCAAAACAAAAGGAACCACUGGACAAAAAUAUAAAGUUUUCUUGAGUUUUGAACUCAGAUGCAAAUACUUAAAAGGGAUGCUAUCGUUCUUCAGAAGGAAAGAAGUAUUUCAGUGGAGAGAAAAAUGAGGAGGAAGAAAUUUAGAGCUGUAACUCUGGCUUUAUGGAAGUAUGUACCUGCUUGGAGAGCAGCAAAAAAUGUCCUCUGUCUCCUUCUCCCCCCUUCCUCCUCCUUCGCCAGAAAAGAAUGAAGGUUUCCAGGUGAUCAAUCAUACGUGCAUGAGUAUGCCUAUUUAAUUCAGAAAUUGGAUUAGAUAUGAAUUGCAAGAAAAAUUUGCCUGGAAUUGUAUGAUUUCCCUUAUUUCAUUCAUUGUGAGUUCCUCCAUGGAUCCUGAGUCUUCAUUUAAGACUGAGUGUCUAAAAUUCUCCUCUAUAAAGAUGCAUCCAAACCUGAUUGAUUGCACUUAAUAACAAUCGGAAAUUCUUUAUGUUGUGUGCAUUUCUAAAAGUCUUUUAUUCAUCCAAUUUUUCCAACAACUUCCUUUUACAGAUGCCAUCAAUUCUGAUAGGUAAUAUACUCGAAUACAAUCCCAAAUUGUGGUGCUCAUGUUUCAGAGUCUUUGGGCUUCAAAAUAUCCUUUAAAAGUGGACAGCACCAUUAUCCCAGUUUUUCUGUGUUAUAUCCCAUGACAUAUCUUUUAUUCUAUCUACUUGAUUAUCCCCUUGUAGGUAAUAAGCACUGAAAGUUUUCUUUUUGACAAAUAGAUAUCAAAUUUGCUAUGUUUUCCUUUGGAUUUCAUGAACUUUCAGAUUUACAUCUUAUCAACACGAAGUGCCAACCUGUGUAUCACACACUGUUCUAGGCACGAGAAACACGGAUGUGAGCAAAAUACGCACUCUUUAGGCUUACAUGUGUCCAUAUGGG
rnacentral:lncRNA from 1 species